rnacentral:lncRNA from 1 species
ACUGGGAGGGGAGACAUGUUUACAUGUUCUCACCUUCCCCACCAUUUUUCAGGUAUCGCGGGUGGUGAAUAGUGGGACGAGACGUGAGGUACGUGUGUAGCGGUCGAUAGAGCUUCUGACCCAGGUUAUUUCGGUAUAGUUAUUACCCUUAUUAUUUCAGUUGUUAUAGCUUAGAUAGUUAUAUAGUUCAGUAUUUUUAUUACAUUUGAAAAUAUGGAUUUUCGUGAAUGUAAUAAACGGAUUUCUGGAUUUUGUAAAAUAAAAGGUUUUCUACCCCUCGUGGUAGCGUUUUUAAAGAAUAAAGAUUUCCGUGUAGGAAACAGUUUUCAAAAGGUUUUCUGUGGAUUUUGCAUCUUAGUAUUUCAAAACCUGUUUCUGUGGUUGAAAACAUUUUAACUGAUAGGUGUGGAUUUAUGCAUAAAUGUGAAUCUGUGGUGAAUGGUGUAUGAAUAUAUAUAACGGUUGGUUUUUUGUAUGUUCAUUUGUUGUGGUUGUGCCUGGAUGACUUCUUGUACUUGUGCGACGCCGUGCAAAUACAGGGGAGACUCUGUCCGUGUGAACAGUGGAUUCUCUGUAUUUGUGGCGGAUCUGGCAUACUCUGGGGUCAGGUUCUCAAAAAAAAAAAAUUCAGACGCUUUUCCGCUUUGUUUUAAACUGAAAAGGGACCCCGGGGUGUGACAGAUUAAAGUGGUAUCAGAGCAAAGUUACAACCACAACACCAUUCACAGGUUCACAGGUUGUUUUGAAAAGUAAAUGAACUGAACCAAAUGAACUGAACCAUUGGUUAGGUUGACCCAUAGGAAGACCUACGGUAUAUAGGCAUGUG